rnacentral:lncRNA from 1 species
GGUAUAUACCCAAAAGAAAGGAAGUCAGUAUAUCAAAGAGGUAUCUGCACUCCCAUGUUUGUUGCAGCAGUGUUCACAAUAGCCAAGAUUUGGAAGCAACCCAAGGGUCCAUCAACAGACCAAUGGAUAAGAAAGUAUAUACACAUUCACACAAUGGAGCACUAUUUGGCCAUAAAAAGAAUGAGAUCCUCUCAUUUGCAACAAUAUAGAUGGAACUGGAGAUCAUUAUGUUAUAAAGUGAAAUAAACCAAAUACAGAAAGAGAAACUUCACAUGUUCUCACUUCUUUGUGGAAAAUUAAAACAAUCAAAUUCAUGGAGCCACAGAUAUUAACAAUUAAAUGAGUGAAAAAAAUUUAUAAGCUAUCAUCGUACCUAAGGUAACCUACAUUUUCUCCUAUGAUAUAUUCCAGGACAUUUCUAGUUUGCAUUUUACUUUUAGGUCUAUGAUCCCUUUGAAUAAUUUUUUUUUUUUUUUUGAGACAGAAUCUCACCCUGUCACCCAGGCUGGAGUGCAGUGGCGUGAUCUUGUCUCACCUCCGCCUCCCAGGUUCAAGCAAUUCUCCUGCCUCAGCCUCCCGAGUAGCUGGGAUCACAGGUGCUCGCCAUCAUGCCCAGCUAAUUUUGUAUUUUUAGUAGAGACAGGGUUUCACCAUGUUGGCCAGGCUGGUCUCGAACUCCUGACCUCAAGUGAUCCACCUGCCUUGGCUUCCCAAAGUGCUGGGAUUACAGGCAUGAGCCACCGCGCCCAGCUCCUUUUCAUUAAUUUCUGUUUAGGGUGUAGGGUCUGUUUGAUUUCUUUUGCACAUGCGGACAUCUAGUUGUCCCAGCACCAUUGUGGGACCAUUUUCUGCAUUGUGGUGCCUUUGAAUCUUCUCAGAAGAUGAGUUGACUAUAUUUAUAUGGGUCUAUUUCUGGGUCCCCUAAUCUGUUCUAUUAUUUGUCUCUCCUUUUACCAAUAACACACUGGUUUGGUAACUGCAGCUUUGUAGUAAGUCUUCUAGUCAGGUAGCGUCAGUCCUCCAACUCUGCUCCUCUCCUUCAGUAUUGAAUUGAUUAUUCUGGGUCUUUUGCCUCUCCAUAAAAACUUUAGGAUCAUCUGUUAAUAUCCACAAAAUAACUUGCAGGGAUUUUGAUUGAAAUUGCAUUGAAUCUAUAGAUCAAGCUGGAAGGAACAAACAUGUUGAAAAUACUGAGUCUUCUUAUCCAUAAACAUGGAAUUUUUCUCCAUUUAUUUGGUUCUUCUUUUGUUCAUCAGGGUUUUGUAGUUUUUCUCAUAUAUAUAGAAAGAGUACACUUUUUUUAGACUUGUACCUAAGUAUUUUAUUGUUUGGGGGUGCUAAAGUAGAAGUACUUUGUUUUUAACUUCAAAUCCACUCAUCCAUUGUUGGUAUAUAGGAAAGUGAUUAACUUUUGUAUAUUUUGAAAUCUUGAAUAGUUGUUCAUUAUUCUAGGGGAUUUUCUUGAUCCCUUUUUACACUUUCUACCUGGAAAAUGUCAUUUGUGAACAAAGAGAGUUUGUUUCUUCUUUCAGUAUCAUUAAACUUUAACUUCCUUUUCUUGCCUUGUUCCAUCUGUUAGAGCUUAAAGUGCUGAAAGGAGAUGGUGAGAGCGGAUGUAUGGGCCUUGGUCGUGAUUUUAGUGGGAAAGUUUCUACAUUCUUACUACUGUAUAUCAUGUUAGUUUUGAGGUCCAGUGGACAAGGAAUGGUCAAGUGACACAAAAGGCCUCACCUGAUAUUGCAAGGACUUGCUGACAGUGAGAGGUCAGGGACAGGGGAGACCCCACCCACACUGUGAAGUCCUGAGAACAGCGAGGGGUCAGGGACAGAGGAGACCCCACUCACACUGUGAGGUCCUGAGGACAGGGUGCAGCCUCUUCCAGGCUUGAUGGGGGUCUGCACGGUGGCUGCAGGCAUGGUGAGCCCUUGCUGCCGGCUCCCAGCACUGACAGGAGGGGGGGCCAUGGUGUCCGCAUGCCUUGGGCUAGGCUUGAGGGCCAACACUGGCCUCCUUGGGGUGUCCAGACAGGCUGGGAGCACUCACUCACCUGUGGCCUUAGUGGAAGGACCCCAGAGGGGACAGGGCAAGGUCUCCUUCUGCAGGCUGCUAAGUAUAAACCAAAUAAGAAAAAGCAGAAAACAAUUUCCCAGAUCAAACAAAAAAUAACAUCAGAGUGCUGGAUGCAGUCAUGCUAAUUUCACUUUUGGCUAAAACCGAGACGAU